UUUCCGUAGGUGAACCUGCGGAAGGAUCAUUAAUGAGUUGUCAUGGGGUUCGAUCCUGGCAGCCAGUUUUUGGAUGCAUGUGCUUGCCCUAACAAUCAUCUUCUUCCAAACACCUGUGCACAUUUUUGAGGGAGUCUUGAGUUGGUUGCCGCUCUUGGGUGAUUUUCUCACAUUCCCUUAAAUCAUUAUACGCUAUUAACAAUGUUGAACGUGCUCUGUGCCGCAAGGCCAUUAAUAUAAUACAACUUUUAACAACGGAUCUCUUGGCUCUC
rnacentral:misc_RNA from 1 species